GAAGGGGUAGUUUAAUCGGGAAAACACUGCGAAACCUUAAACUUUUGUUCCUAUAGGAAAUGCCAUAAGGUUUACAUCUAUUGGUAUCAGAGAGUUCUGGGUUCGACUCCCAGUCCCUUCG
rnacentral:tRNA from 1 species